rnacentral:rRNA from 1 species
UGAGGAAUAUUGGUCAAUGGGCGCAAGCCUGAACUAGCCAUCCCGCGUGCAGGAAGACGGCGCUAUGCGUUGUAAACUGCUUUUCCAGGGGGAGAAACUUGCGCACGUGUUGCGCAAUUGACGGUACCCUGGGAAUAAGCAUCGGCUAACUCCGUGCCAGCAGCCGCGGUAAUACGGAGGAUGCGAGCGUUAUCCGGAUUCAUUGGGUUUAAAGGGUGCGUAGGCGGACUAUUAAGUCAGUGGUGAAAUCCUGCAGCUUAAUUGCAGAACUGCCAUUGAUACUGAUAGCCUUGAGUUUGGUUAAGGUAGGCGGAAUGUGUAAUGUAGCGGUGAAAUGCUUAGAUAUUACACAGAACACCAAUUGCGUAGGCAGCUUACUGAGCCGACACUGACGCUGAGGCACGAAAGCGUGGGGAUCGAACAG